UUCCUCCUUUCCUGAGCCGAAUCUUGUCUGAUCUUGGAAGCUAAGCAAGGUGGGGCCUGGUUUGAACUUGGAUGGGAGACUGUAGAUAUUUCUUAUGUAAC
ensembl:rRNA predicted gene, 22385